CCCACGAUCUACAACCCCACCCUCAUCCCACUGGACUCCCACUUCCUUGUCUCUCAUCCUUAUGUUCAAGGGAAAUCAUUCCUUCUCUCUGUCAUUCAAACUAAAAUAAUUUUUUUCCCUAUAAUUCCAUUUCAAUCUGAUUUCAUUUUGCAAUGGAGUUUGAAUCAGAAGUUCCAAGCGGUAUUAUCUCUCUUUAGAUCUCUAUUGUUCAAAUUUUCGCAUCAAACCUAGAUGCAGUAAACAACAAGUAUUUCGUUCAAAGGAUUGGGGUUUUCUGUUUUAAUCGAUUUAAUGCAAACCAAUUUGAUGGGGAAACUGGUGUCGAUUAAUUUCAAGCGGCUUGAUUUUUUUUCUGAGAGUGGAAGAUCCAUUUAAGGCAAAGCUCAGAAUGACAAGUAGUCCAGUUUACACAUCAGAAUAGCUUCCAUGGUGCUUUGUUAGUGAAGGAAAAAAUCGGGUUCCUCUUCCUGAUCAGAAUGAUUUAUUUAACCUUGAUCAAAGCUGGUCUAGGUAUUUUAAACACAAUUUUCUUAUCAUUCAGUUUUAUGUGGUCGAUUUGGAGGUAACUUUUUAUCUCCUCAGUGGAGAUAUUCAAUAUCUAUGUAGUUUCAGUAUUCCAUAUCGUGCUGACUUUUAAGUUUUCUGAUUUCUUGUCGAGGUGUUGCUAAGCUUAUAGUUAACAGUCCAUGUAAGGAUGAGUAUCCAAUUUUAAUAUAUAUAUCAUCUUUCUUCACAUGAUCGUUCAGUACUGAGUACUGUCUUUAUUGUAGCCGGUUCUGUUUUACUAAAUAUGAACCAUAUUAUAUCUAAUAUGGGAAGUUGUUUUUUUCUAUAGAUGCGGGAUAUAACCAAGUUUAAAGUUAUUAAUAGACUAUGGCUUUGUUGAUGAAGAUAAUUCUUAUGGUUACAUUUUAUUGAGGCAUCCUAAACACCAAAGAUCCUCAAUACCAUGAUAAGGUAUGGGCUGCUCAACCAAAUGAAAAACUGGUUAAUGGAUAUACAAGUCUUACGGGUUACCAAAAGAUGACACACAUCUUGACAUCUUUAACUGGUGAAAAAGUGCUUGUCAAUCCGGAGAGAGGCUGUAUUUUGCGUUUGACUAUGUCAAUUUGUUAGAAAGGACCAUUUUGCGUGUGGAAGUGAAAGAUACUUGCAUAAACUUUGAGCUAGGAAGCGGAUACCACAACAUGUCAAGUUUGUACUGGAGAACCCGAAAGGGGUAUUCUACUGAGAGUUUUCCUUUAAGGGAGGCUUGGGACUGGAAAUACAUAACUUCAAAAGCAUGGCACGCUCAUUAUGCUGACAUUAAAAAUCCUUUCAAGAAGAAACUGUCCCUGAAGUAAGCCUACCUGCUAAAUGCUAAACUGUCAGGUCCGUGAAGUAAUCAAACUUCGAAUGACACUUAAUUCCUUGGAAAGAAAAGUUUGUAUUUCUGAAGGUACCACUUUUGGCCACAUGCUGAUGUUCCAUUUUCUUUGGUAAUCCUGGCACACGUCAAGGGGAAGUCACCGGUUUUGACUUUACCAGUGUAUUAGUACGUACUAUAUCUUCGCUCGGAGGUUCGCAAGCUAACAUCAGUGCUGCCAUCAUGAUUGUUUUUUGUUUUGUAUAGCUGGAAUAAGAGAAAACUUUUAAACAUUUCUAUAGGUGUCACUGAACGGUUUAUGCAUCUUACAAUGCUUGCUUAAGCUUUUGUGAUUGGCUUCGAUGAAGAUUUAGAAAUUUCAAUGAAACAUAAGACCUUGUAUUGUAAAUUGACUUGUACUUUUUUUU